rnacentral:rRNA from 1 species
UACAGAGGUCUCAAGCGUUUGUUCGGAUUCAUUGGGCGUAAAGCGCACGUAGGCGGCUUAGCAAGUUGGAUGUGAAAUCCCUCGGCUCAACCAAGGAAGUGCAUCCAAAAACUGCUGAGCUUGAGUACUUAAGAGGAUCGCGGAAUUCCCGGUGUAGAGGUGAAAUUCGUAGAUAUCGGGAGGAACACCAGUGGCGAAGGCGGCGAUCUGGGAAGAUACUGACGCUGAGGUGCGAAAGCGUGGGGAGCAAACAGG